rnacentral:lncRNA from 1 species
CCCGUUCCAAGUUCGACCGUCUCGUUGCAGGCCAUUGUGCCUUUCUUCGGCGUUUUGGGACGGAACCAAGAAACCGAUUCUGGGGCGUCACCGUUCGGCUUUUGUGGGCAAGAAACUUCGAGAUCACUCAGAAUCGGACCACCCAGUAGCCGGAUGUGGACUUUCGAGGCCUCGGACCCCAUUCCAAGUCCGACCGUCCCUUUCCAGGCCAUUGUGCCUUUCUUCGGCGUUUUGGGACGGAACCAAGAAACCGAGUCUAAGGCGUCACCGUUCGGCUUUUGUGGGCAAGAAACUUCGAGAUCACUCAGAAUCGGACCACCCAGUAGCCGGAUGUGGACUUUCGAGGCCUCGGACCCCGUUCCAAGUCCGACCGUCCCUUUCAGGCCAUUGUGCCUUUCUUCGGCGUUUUGGGACGGAACCAAGAAACCGAGUCUGCGGCGUCACCGUUCGGCUUUUGUGGGCAAGAAACUUCGAGAUCACUCAGAAUCGGACCACCCAGUAGCUAGAUGUGGACUUUCGAGGCCUCGGACCCCGUUCCAAGUCCGACCGUCCCUUUCGAGGCCAUUGUGCCUUUCUUCGGCGUUUUGGGACGGAACCAAGAAACCGAGUCUGGCGCGCGUCACCGUUCGGCUUUUUGGGCAAGAAACUUCGAGAUCACUCAGAACUCGGACCACCCAGUAGCUAGAUGUGGACUUUCGAGGCCUCGGACCCCGUUCCAAGUCCGACCGUCCCUUUCCAGGCCAUUGUGCCUUUCUUCGGCGUUUUGGGACGGAACCAAGAAACCGAGUCUGGGGCGUCACCGCUCGGCUUUUGUGGGCAAGAAACUUCGAGAUCACUCAGAAUCGGACCACCCAGUAGCUAGAUGUGGACUUUCGAGGCCUCGGACCCCGUUCCAAGUCCGACCGUCCCUUUCUAGGCCAUUGUGCCUUUCUUCGGCGUUUUGGAACGGAACCAAGAAACCGAGUCUGGGGCGUCACCGUUCGGCUUUUGUGGGCAAGAAACUUUGAGAUCACUCAGAAUCGGACCACCCAGUAGCUAGAUGUGGACUUUCGAGGCCUCGGGACCCCCGUUCCAAAGUCCGACCGUCCCUUUCCAGGCCAUUGUGCCUUUUUCGGCGUUUUGGGACGGAACCAAGAAACCGAGUCUGGGCGUCACCGUUCGGCUUUUGUGGGCAAGAAACUUCGAGAUCACUCAGAAUCGGACCACCCAGUAGCUAGAUGUCGACUUUCGAGGCCUCGGACCCCGUUCCAAGUCCGACCGUCCCUUUCUAGGCCAUUGUGCCUUUCUUCGGCGUUUUGGGACGGAACCAAGAAACCGAGUCUGGGGCGUCACCGUUCGGCUUUUGUGGGCAAGAAACUUCGAGAUCACUCAGAAUAGGACCACCCAGUAGCUAGAUGUGGACUUUCGAGGCCUCGGACCCCGUUCCAAGUCCGACCGUCCCUUUCCAGGCCAUUGUGCCUUUCUUCGGCGUUUUGGGACGGAACCAAGAAACCGAGUCUGCGGCGUCACCGUUCGGCGUUUUGUGGGCAAGAAACUUCGAGAUCACUCAGAAUCGGACCACCCAGUAGCUAGAUGUGGACUUUCGAGGCCUCGGACCCCGUUCCAAGUCCGACCGUCCCUUUCCAGGCCAUUGUGCCUUUCUUCGGCGUUUUAGGACGGAACCAAGAAACCGAGUCUGCGGCGUCACCGUUCGGCUUUUUGUGCGGCAAGAAACUUCGAGAUCACUCAGAAUCGGACACCCCAGUAGCUAGAUGUGGACUUUCGAGGCCUCGGACCCCGUUCCAAGUCCGACCGUCCCUUUCUAGGCCAUUGUGCCUUUCUUCGGCGUUUUGGGACGGAACCAAGAAACCGAGUCUGCGGCGUCACCGUUCGGCUUUUGUGGGCAAGAAACUUCGAGAUCACUAAGAAUGGAUCGGACCACCCAGUAGCUAGAUGUGGACUUUCGAGGCCUCGGACCCCGUUCCAAGUCCGACCGUCCCUUUCUAGGCCAUUGUGCCUUUCUUUCGGCGUUUUGGGACGGAACCAAAGAAACCGAGUCUGGCGGCGUCACCGUUCGGCUUUUGUGGGCAAGAAACUUCGAGAUCACUCAGA